UACAGAGGGUGCGAGCGUUAAUCGGAAUUACUGGGCGUAAAGGGCGCGUAGGUGGUUAGAUAAGUUGGAUGUGAAAUCCCUGGGCUUAACCUAGGAACUGCAUACAAUACUGUUUAACUGGAGUGCAGUAGAGGGUAGUGGAAUUUCCGGUGUAGCGGUGAAAUGCGUAGAUAUCGGAAGGAACACCAGUGGCGAAGGCGGCUACCUGGACUGACACUGACGCUGAGGCGCGAGAGCGUGGGGGAGCAAACAGGG
rnacentral:rRNA from 1 species